UACGUAGGUGGCAAGCGUUGUCCGGAUUUAUUGGGCGUAAAGAGCUCGUAGGCGGUUUGUUGCGUCGGCCGUGAAAACUUGGGGCUUAACUCCGAGCUUGCGGUCGAUACGGGCAGACUUGAGUUCGGCAGGGGAGACUGGAAUUCCUGGUGUAGCGGUGGAAUGCGCAGAUAUCAGGAGGAACACCGGUGGCGAAGGCGGGUCUCUGGGCCGAUACUGACGCUGAGAAGCGAAAGCGUGGGGAGCGAACAGG
rnacentral:rRNA from 1 species